GGUUACUGCUAUCGGUGUUCGUCUAAGCCAUGCGAGUCAUAUGUAGCAAUACAUGGCGUACUGCUCAGUAACACGUGGAUAACCUGCCCUUGGGUCCGGCAUAACCCCGGGAAACUGGGGAUAAUUCCGGAUAACGCAUAUAUGCUGGAAUGCUUUAUGCGUGAAAUGGAUUCGUCUGCCCAAGGAUGGGUCUGCGGCCUAUCAGGUAGUAGUGGGUGUAAUGUACCUACUAGCCUACGACGGGUACGGGUUGUGAGAGCAAGAGCCCGGGGAUGGAUUCUGAGACAUGAAUCCAGGCCCUACGGGGCGCAGCAGGCGCGAAAACUUUACAAUGCGGGAAACCGUGAUAAGGGGACACCGAGUGCCAGCAUCCUAUGCUGGCUGUCCAGGUGUGUAAACUACACCUGUUAGCAAGGGCCGGGCAAGACCGGUGCCAGCCGCCGCGGUAACACCGGCGGCCCGAGUGGUGAUCGUGAUUAUUGGGUCUAAAGGGUCCGUAGCCGGUUUGGUCAGUCCUCCGGGAAAUCUGACAGCUUAACUGUUAGGCUUUCGGAGGAUACUGCCAGACUUGGAACCGGGAGAGGUAAGAGGUACUACAGGGGUAGGAGUGAAAUCUUGUAAUCCCUGUGGGACCACCUGUGGCGAAGGCGUCUUACCAGAACGGGUUCGACGGUGAGGGACGAAAGCUGGGGGCACGAACCGGAUUAGAUACCCGGGUAGUCCCAGCCGUAAACGAUGCUCGCUAGGUGUCAGGCAUGGCGCGACCGUGUCUGGUGCCGCAGGGAAGCCGUGAAGCGAGCCACCUGGGAAGUACGGCCGCAAGGCUGAAACUUAA
rnacentral:rRNA from 1 species